rnacentral:lncRNA from 1 species
AGCAUUUAUUAAACACCUCUGGUGCAAGAGAAACAAAGACAAACAGGAAGCAGUCCUUGCCCUCAAUGAGCUUACACUCUAGAGGCCCGAGGGGGGUGGGGGGAGGAAGAAAAGAUAAACCCACACAGAAAUAAAUACAAAGCAGCAGUGGAUUCCAGAAAGUGCUAAUAACUGAGGGGAACAGAAUAGUCAGAGAUGUAGAACUAGAGGGAAACCCCAGAGAACUGGGUGUGAGUGAGCCCUUUUCACAGAUGAGGGGCAAAGCGAAGACCACUAGGAUGAAGCAAUGGGUGUCCUAGGUGGGAUAGAAAUUCAAACCCAUUCUUCUAGCCACUACUCUGAGCAGAGCAGCGAGAGGGGACACCUAAACUGGUCUCUGAAAGCAGCUAGGGAGGGAGAGAAUUCCAGACUUUGGGGGCCACCUGUACAAAGGCAGGAGACAGAAUGUUAUGUACAGGGGACAGGGUGACCAAUUUUACUGGAACAGACUGUUCAGGACAGGUGUAAAGAAGAGUCCUUUUUAAAUGGAAAAGAGGUGGAAGUCUCACACCCUUAGGGCCUUGCAGCAAGUCAAAAAUCAGCAGGGGAGCAGACAGCAAUGUCCCUCAGGCCCCCUCCCACUGCCCAGUAGUUUGGGCCCUGCUGGAGGAUGCCCCCCCCCCCCAGCUCAAGACUUGGUCCCCUUCCCCCCACCCCCCAGGCCUUUCACCUUCUAGAUGCCAGGGCAGCAGCUCUUCCUCAAUCCUCGAAGACAGGAGCAGAGCUCAGCAGUUCUUCAACUGGCAGCUUUAGCUGGGACAAGACAUAAAGCUCGCCACUGAAGAACUGCUGUGGCUCGGCCAGGAAUGUGUGGGGGGCACAGGAUCCUGGGGGGUGGAGGGAGGAGGGGGGAGAAGAGGGAAGAAGCUGGUCAGAGCCAUCCUGGGGCACUAAUUGCCAGGCAGGGCCAUGGUCCAGUUGCUACCAUCGCACCUUUCCGAGGCCUUUUCCCCACCAUAUCACGUCCCCAGCCCAUAGUAGGACUUUAAUGUAAAGGGCACUAUGGGAAAAAAAAUCAUCAGGCAGCAUUCAGCUCAUCAGCACCCCCAGUCACCUAGCCCGGUCCUCCCCCCUUCCAGCCCCCUCCCACUCCUACAUUCUCAGCUGGGAUGGGGGGGGGGGGGGCAAUGAGGCUGGGUCCCGGGGCACGGAGCUCGGCGGCUGCCCGGCACUAGGUGGACAGGCUAUCUGGCCUCGGUGGUCACCCCUGGGCCUCUUCCUGGGGACCUCAGCUGGGUCUGGAAGGAGGGGGCUAGGGGCCCAGGGAGAAGAGGGGAAGGUGCCGGGGGGGAGGAGCCAGGGCUCAGGGGCUCGGGAGGAAGCCAGCAGGGGGAGGGUGACUCAGGCGAGGGGCCCGAGCGGAGGGCAGCAGGGGGCGGGUGGAUGGGCAGGUUCUCCAGGCCUCUCGGAUGCCAGGCAUUCCGCUCGCGCAUUCCGGGUACAUCUGGUAUGAAUUCCAGGCUGUCUGCCGGCCCCUCCGUGUCUGAACUUUGUUCCAAGUCCCAGGCCCCGCCCCCAGGUUCCAACGCAUGAAUCAGCAGGAAAAGCCACGGCCCUGCAGCAUGGCCCAGGGAGGGGGCUGGGGGCGUGGCUGGGCUCGGGAGUCGCCCCCCCCCAACCCCCAGCCCUGGCUUAGUCCAAGGGCACGGCCCCCUUCCCGGGAGGGCAGCGCUCCCUCCAAACCUCCAGUACCCGGGCGGGUUCUGCUCCCCGGCAGGGGGCCAGGGGCCGGGGGCAAACCCGGCGCGCAGCUUCCCCAGGGAGGGAGCCCGAGAGAAUGUGCCCUCUGUAGCGAGCUCUGCGUCGCCCCCUCCCCGGCCCACAAGCUCUCCUGCGGACGGUCCUGGGCCGGGCAGGUGCCCUUGGCAGAGAGGCAGGACCGGACCAGGGCAGUGGCCAGUUACUCUAUCACCCCCUUGGCGCCCGGACAGCCCCGAGGACGAGCCGCGGUGGCAGCUGGAGUCAGCGACUGGGUCUUAAGGGUGGGGGAAGAUCGCAGGGAGGCCACCGGGAGAGGCCAAUAGUAGGGGAGUGGAGGGAGGAGAAACGCCGAGAGGAGGCGGGGAAGGGAGCCCAGUGAUGACUAACUCAGACCGCCCCACCCAGCCAGCCGGCUUCUCGGGCGGUCAGGGCCGGGCCUGGGUUGGGGGCCGCUCACUCGGGCGGGGCAGGGGGGGAGGUGCAGAGGUGACCUUUCCGAGGCCGAGCCCGCCGGGCCAGAGAAGGGGCAGAGGGGGAGGGGAGAAAGAGUUUCUAGGCCCCCCCCAUCCCCCCAAAUGAAACCUUAGCCUGGGAGUUGCAUAAGACCCCGCGCCGCCGCCGCCCCCCCCCAACUACCCCCCCUUUACAUAAGGCUCCCCCACUCCUCCCCCGGAGGGGAGGGGCCGUCCCGUCUAGCGACCCCUCCCCGGACAGGGGACGGACUCGGGACAGUGGCCGAGCCUUCGCUAGGAGAUGGGCGGGGGGGGGAGGAUAGAGAGGAGCGACCCUCCCGCCGGAUCCCGCCCGGUCCGGUCCGGCCCCAUCCGUGAACUUACCCCGGGCCGGACGCCACGCCGGCUCCCGUCCUAGACCCAGGACCCCGGUCUUUGCUGGGCCCGCGGCGGGGCCGCCCUGGCUCCCCAGUACCAUCUGAUAGGACUGAAUCUCCCCCACCCAAUUCACCCCCUCCCGGGGGGACUAUCGCUUGCCAACCUCCCUCGGACCAAACUUGGGUUGACGCCCCUCUCCCGGGGCUGGCACCCACCCACCUCGCCGCCCCCUCUUCGGCCGGAGUGCAAGGGUGUGGCCAACAGACCCCGCUGCCCGCCCGGACCCAGCUCCCGGCGCGGCGCCCACGGCUCACACCCACCUGGUCCGGGACGAGGGCGAGGGCGCGGGAGCCCGAGCGCUGGGGGGGGGGGGGGGGGGGGCGGGCUGGACUAGGAGGGAGCGGGUCCCACGCGUCCGCUCCCCUCGGCCGGCGCCGCCGUCUCUCCCAAGCGCCCCGCACACACCGGCUCCAGCCUCCGAUCAGCUGGCGGCGUCGUGACGCACGACACCCGGUUGCACCGCCCUCAACCAAUCACCGCCCGCCGCUGGCGAGCGUGGCCACGCCUUGGGGCGCCCCAACCCCGCCCCCAUCCCCGCCUACAAGGCCAUUUCAGCUCUGAUUGACACCGAGGUCAUCCCCUUCCUGUCGAGCAAAGCAUCUUUCAACCCUGCCUCCCAACUCGCGAGAUGG